rnacentral:lncRNA from 1 species
AAUAACUAUUAAUCAGUUACGGUUAAUAUUAAAAUUAGUGAUUCAUAAUUAUUUAUCUAAUAUGAAUAAACAAAUUAAAUCCAAACAAUAUGAUGCUAUGAUUAUUAACAAUCAUGAUGACAUUUUAACUUGUUUAUAUAGUUUAUGUUUAAUAAGCACAAACAUAGGUUAUAAUAUAAAGGGUGUAGGAGACUCUAAAACAAAUUUAAAUCAUGACAUAAAACGGGUGAGCGAUUACGAAAAAAAUAGUUGUGCAUAUGAUGAUGGGUCCAAAGGAUUAUGUAAUAAUAAAUAUAACCAUGUCACUAUUUACAUACAGAUUUGUAUUGAUAUAUUAAGAUGUUAUUUUUAUGAAUUAUAUAGCAUAAAUACAGAUAAUAUAAAAAAAUAUAUUUUAACAAAUGAAGAAAAUAUUAUAAAAUUUUAUACGCUUUAUUUAUUUUUACAACUAAAUAAAAAUAAUAAUCUUAUUUAUGACACAAAUUUUGUUAAGCAAUUUUUAAAUGUCGAAAAAAUGACAAAAAAUGAAUUUUUUUUUUUUGAAAGCAUACUACCUAGUAAUCCAGAAUUAAACAAACAUCACGUAAAUUGUAAUACAAACUGUGAAGAAAACCUUGGUUAUACACAUAGUGAAUUGAAGAAAGAAAGAAAUAAAGAAAAAAAAAAAUUUAUUGUAGAUUAUGAAGAGAUAGUUAAUAAUAAAACAAAUAGUCAUGAACAUAAACAUGGGCGCGCAUAUAACAAUUUCCCAAGUGAACAAAAUUUUGUUUUCUCUAACAAUUAUAACAAAAACAAUUCAUUUCUUAAUAAUUCAUAUAUAAAUAAUAUAAAUAAUAAAAAUUUUUUAUCAAAUGAAAAUUUAGAUUUUUUUUAUUUAUUACAAAAAGGAAUUGAUCACAAUGAGAGAAAAAAAAACAAACAGAUUUUUUUAUUUUUUAAACAGCAUAAGAAAACAGUACCUACCUAUUCUACAUUAUUUAACAACUCGUUUAAUAAAGAAAUAAAAAAAGUAAAAGAACAUGUCUUAUUAAUUAAUAAACAAAUUAAAAGUUCCAAGUCUCACUUAAAAUUAUAUGAAUACAUAAAAAAUAUUUUACAAAAAAAAAUAAAAAAAAAUAUAUCUUUUAAAGAACAAAAUGUUAACAUAAAAAAUGAAUAUAUAAUUAAUAAAAACGAUUAUUAUUUUAUUGUGGAUAUUUAUGAUCAAAAUACCAAUACAAUUUUUGAAAUUAAUGGCAACAGUCAUUACACAAAACAACAUACCAAAUUGUUAAAUAAAUUAGGUAAUAAUACCAACUAUUUUUAUAAUUAUAAAUCUUACU